rnacentral:rRNA from 1 species
UACGAAGGGGGCUAGCGUUGCUCGGAAUCACUGGGCGUAAAGCGCACGUAGGCGGCUUUUUAAGUCAGGGGUGAAAUCCUGGAGCUCAACUCCAGAACUGCCUUUGAUACUGAGAAGCUUGAGUCCGGGAGAGGUGAGUGGAACUGCGAGUGUAGAGGUGAAAUUCGUAGAUAUUCGCAAGAACACCAGUGGCGAAGGCGGCUCACUGGCCCGGUACUGACGCUGAGGUGCGCAAGCGUGGGGAGCAAACAGG